AUCCUUCGCUUUUCCAAAAGUUUUAUCAAAGAGAGAAUUAACAAAUUUAAGAGAAGUACCAUAAAUAUCGUUUAAUUUCCUCCCUGUUCUCCUUUUCUUGCUCUCUUCUUCCCCAAUCUCUUCUUUUCUUUGUUGUUGUUGUUGAGAUUGUUGUUGUGGUGGUGGUUGAAAGUGUUGUUGUUGUGAUUGGAAUUGAGAUUGUCCUUGUUGCAAUUG
rnacentral:ribozyme from 13 species